UAACAAGGAUACAAUUCUUACGC
rnacentral:siRNA from 1 species